rnacentral:piRNA from 1 species
UCACAGUAGCCUGGUGACCGUUACCAACUC